rnacentral:rRNA from 1 species
AGGAGUGCUCGAAAGAGAGCCGUAACACAGGUGCUGCAUGGCUGUCGUCAGCUCGUGUCGUGAGAUGUUCGGGUUAAGUCCCGCAACGAGCGCAACCCUUGUCAUUAGUUGCUACAUUCAGUUGGGCACUCUAAUGAGACUGCCGGUGACAAACCGGAGGAAGGUGGGGAUGACGUCAAGUCCUCAUGGCCCUUAUAGGUGGGGCUACACACGUCAUACAAUGGAUGGUACAAAGGGUCGCCAACCCGCGAGGGGGAGCCAAUCCCAUAAAGCCAUUCGUAGUCCGGAUCGCAGUCUGCAACUCGACUGCGUGAAGUCGGAAUCGCUAGUAAUCGUGGAUCAGAAUGUCACGGUGAAUACGUUCCCGGGUCUU